CGGAGAGGAAAAUCUGACAGACCAAAAUAAUCAGACACAAGUUUGGCAGAAGGAAGUGUCAGCUGCUUAGAUGAAAGUCUUGGACAUAACAGCAACAUGGGCAGUGAUUCAGGCACCAUGGGAAGUGAUUCAGAUGAAGAGAAUGUGGCAGCAAGAGCAUCCCCGGAGCCAGAACUCCAGCUCAGGCCUUACCAAAUGGAAGUUGCCCAGCCAGCCUUGGAAGGGAAGAAUAUCAUCAUCUGCCUCCCUACAGGGAGUGGAAAAACCAGAGUGGCUGUUUACAUUGCCAAG
rnacentral:lncRNA from 1 species